rnacentral:lncRNA from 1 species
CACAGUGGGAGCGCUUCUUUGGACUGAAGUGCUGAUGCCCAAAGGCAGUGUGAGGUCUUUUUCCUUCUCUUACAGAAAUGACUAUGUCCCCAAGGCACCAAUGCACCUAGUGCUUAUGUGUAGUAAAUGUAAUGUUAUAUGUCAAGGGUUCAUGAAAAGAAUCAUAUGGCAUACAGUUUCUAAAAUCAUUUUAAGGAAAAUAAACAUCAAAUGAAAUUUGUCAAUUUCUUGACAUAUUUUAUUCUGCAUUAAAAGUUAAAAAUUGCUUUUUUAAACUUGGACCGCAUGGGAGCCAUCAUGGGAUAUGAAACAGUUUUUAUAAUUCUGUGCCUAUAUGGAGCUAGAGAGAUGACUCAGCAGUUAAGAGCAUUACUAGCUUCUCUUCCAGAGGACCAGGUUCAGUUCCCAGCACAUAUGAUGUCUGUAACUUCAGUUCCAGGGGAUAUGACAUCCUUACAUAGACAUAUAUGCAGGCAAAACACCAAUGUAUGUGAAAUAAAAGUAAACAAAUCUUAAAAGACAAAGAGCAAUUCUGUGCCUAGAGAUCUGGAGAAUCAGUUUUAGAGGACCUGAGGACAUAGGUUUCCCAGGAAGAAACAGGCCCUAAUGGUUUAAUAGAAGCCAGUUGGCACUUAGUAGGCAAGAAGUGCUUUCCUGUGACUUUGCCAGUGACCCUUACAGGCACACAGCCUUCU